AAAGGUUGAAACGCAUGUACCUUCUAUCUCGCUCGGUGGAACCCAAUAUAUUACAUUUUCAAGAUCAUGGGCUUCUUUGAUCUCAUAGCCUGUGAGUUGCCUUCCUUCAUAUGCUGCCCGCAACGAUAUGAGGUUCAACCGGAUCAUAGUCGCUAAGUCACUCCUUGUCAAUGUUGGAUUGUCCACGUAAAGUUCAUCCAACUUCACUUUUUGUUCUGGUGUAAGUACACUCUCUUCAAAUGGUGGCUCUAUAUAUGGCUCAUCCUCUUCUUCUUGUGGCCAAUCAUUGAAUUUCAUGGCCAACAACUCCUAAAUCACCAAAAAGAAAUAAAAAUUGUUAGUUUAAAAAAACUGUAGAGAAAAUGUUCUAGACUAAAAACUAAUCCUAAAUCUGUAGGUAACGCAAUUUCUCCCCGGCAGCAGCGCCAACUUGAUUACUCGAGUAUUUAACCCGAUAACUUAACCGAAGUAAAGUAUAUGCGGGAUCAUUCACAAGGAGCAAUGGUACACUAAAGACUUGCGAGACUCGUUCUUAGCUAAAGCGGAAAAGACUUGUUGUUUGGUUUUUCAGUUUGUAAAUAAAAAUGCAACAAUAAACUGUGAUGAAACUUAUGAAUUAAGGACAUUGGGAAGCAGGGUAUUUUCAGAGAAUCAAUGAAUAACAAAUAAAAGCGAUAAGGAAUUCAAACAUGAAGAGCCGUUCUUAAACAUGAACACAAGUUUAGACUAACUUUCUCUCAAGACAUUAAUCACUAAAUUUAACUAUUCAAUUAAUAAACUCUCAUUUGUAAUUUCCUAGCCAAAUUCGCAUUAUCAAACAUGUUCAUUUGGUUCACAAAACAUUCUAACAUCAACUCUCGCAGGUUAGAAAUACAAUGCUCAAUUUACAUUCAUUCAGACAUUUUAUCGAACAUCUCUGAAAGACAUAAAAGCCUAAGUUCUAAAACAGGGUGAUCAAUCCUAUUCUAUCAUUGAGAACAUGUAAAUUGAAAAACCUAAAGAUUAAGAAUUUCCUAAGACAUCUAGUCUAUCAAAUCAUUGAAUUCUCCUACUUGAAACUCUAUAAUCCAAUUAAGAGAUUACUCAAACAUAGCAAAAGAGAAAACAAAAAUCAUAGAUGAAGAAAACAUGAUGAAAUUUCAGAAACAAUAAGAAAGGGUUUAGAAAUCUUCUCCAAGUGUCAAGAGGAUGGAUUCUUCUCCCAAAAUUGUUUAAGAAGCAAAGAACAAUGUUUAGAACUCAAAAAAUAUGAAGAAUGGCUAAUAAAAUGUCGAGCCUAGGGUAUAAAAACAAUAGGAGACGAUUUGGGUCGGUUAUGAAGUGUUUCGGAUCAAAUAUGGGCCAUAAAAUGCGUCAGAGGUAAGGGACCGAUCGUUCCAAAUGUUAGACCGAUCGGUCUAAUGCUCCCAGGUUUUACUUCUGCACUAGCUUCAACAACUCGUCAAAAUGACCUGUCUUCACGAAAUCGGGUGUAACUCGUGAAUGCACCGUUAGAUUUUCUUGAAAUAACUUGCAAAUAAACGCUAACACCUGUCUUCAGUUUGUGUCAAAAUAUGAGCAAGCUCUAACGGUUGAAAGUUGUCCAUAUGAUCUCAAACAUCUGACACUUCUACAUGAAUCUGUAUCUCCAAAUGUGUGUUUGCAUCCCAAAACGGCUCAUUUUAUUCCAAAGCAACCUAAAACCUAUAAAGACUCUAUACUGGACUAAAAGACUCUAAAAACACACUUUGACUAAAUAAAAAUUAUAAAAUAAAAUAGAAAAGAAAGACUUAAAACCGAUAAAAACACAAUAUAUCAACUCCCCUCGACUUAGAUUAUUGCUUGUCUUCAAGCAAAGCGAAGAGGUUUGAAAACAUGAGAACUCACAUAUUCUUUUGGGAUCAUGCUCUUAAUCAAUUGCCUGCAAACCACUACAACAAAGUUUAUAUCAAACCGUACAAUAAUGUACUUCACCAUGAAAUCAUGAGAUCCCAAAAGCACAAAGAACUUCAUAAUCAAAUAACUUAACCUUUUAACAUUCAUUAGCAGUUUCGUGCACUCUCAAAAAGGGAAUAUCGAACACGUUAUGGUCUAGGUGUAAAAGCAGUUUUAGCUGGGUCAAGUGUUUAAGGUUCAGCAGUAAUACGAACGAAUGCAAACAUUAUGCAAAAUCACACUGAGACACAGACUGAUUGGAAGGUACAUAAUUUCCCUCUAACUCGGAUGACCUUAACCACAUCAAAUCCCAAGCAAAAAUCAUAUCACCUUAACCAAAUCGAACCCCAGACAAAUCAUAAGUAUCAUAGAUGCUUUUCAAAUAAAACCAAAGACAUAUCGACUUUUCCGGUUCCAUUCUUUCUCCUUUCCCGUUAUUUUCUCUCUUUUUUUUUCUUUUUAUUUUUUCUUUUUUUUUGGACGGGGGAGUAGAAUCGGUUCUCGUCUCACAAAGUGCAUCAACAAAACUCAAUCAUGAUUGCUCACAGCACAUGCUCAUGAAUAUAUAAAUAUAAUCACAAGAACUCAAUGUCAAUCACCCCAAACAACUACAGUUACAAUCCUAAUUAAAGGAAAGCUAUAUCGGUCUGUAUACUCCGUAGUUUUUGCACAUAAUGACAAUGACAAUGACAUACGAAUGCAUGUGGUCUGAAACAUGGAUAGGGCUAAAGGUGUGCUACUAGACUAAAUAUGAGUCUAGCCAUUGAGAGUUUACAAAGAGUGGUAAAAUACGCGAACUAAACUCUGAAUGUAUGAUCCAUUACAUGAUUGCCAACCCCCUAAGUGAGAUAUAACAAGUCAAGAUUAAGUUCAAAUAAGCAAGGUUAAGCUCAAAUCAUCCAAAUUUCUAAGUGAGGGAUUAUACGAGUGAUUAUCAAUAUCAAACAAAACUCCUAACUAAGAUUCUGCAAGAAGAGAUCUAGACAUUUCAGGCAUUGAAAACUUAAACUCGAGAUCAUAAAAAUUCAAAGCACAAUGAUAUUCAAUAUGAAAACAUAUCUCAUGGUAAUCUUUAGCAAGUUUUUCUGCUCUAAUAGUAUCUAGCUGUUGAGACUCACCUAUCAAAUCAUAACAUUCACUGAUAAUCUUGGGAGUAUGCAAACUAGAAUCAACAUCUUCAAUGAAAGGCAUAGAAAAAUCCUCAAAAUCAUGAAUUUCAAAGGUUGAAACGCAUGUACCUUCUAUGUCGCUCGGUGGAACCCAAUAUAUUACAUUUUCAAGAUCAUGGGCUUCUUUGAUCUCAUAGCCUGUGAGUUGCCUUCCUUCAUAUGCUGCCCGCAACGAUAUGAGGUUCAACCGGAUCAUAGUCGCUAAGUCACUCCUUGUCAAUGUUGGAUUGUCCACGUAAAGUUCAUCUAACUUCACUUUUGUUCCGGUGUAAGAACACUCUCAUCAAAUGGUGGCUCUAUAUAUGGCACAUCCUCUUCUUCUUGUGGCCAAUCAUUGAAUUUCAUGGCCAACAACUCCCAAAUCACCAAAAAGAAAUAAAAAUUGUUAGUUAUAAAAAAGUGUAGAGAAAAUGCUCUAGACUAAAAACUAAUCCUAAAUCUUUAAGUAACGCAAUUGCUCUCUGGCAGCGGGGCCAACUUGAUUACUCGAGUAUUUAACCCGAUAUAUUAACCGGAGUAAAGUAUAUGCGGGAUCGAUCACAAGGAGCAAUGGUACACUAAAGACUUGCGAGACUCAUUCUUAGCUAAAGCAGAAAAGACUUGUUGUUUGGUUUUUCAGUUUGUAAAUAAAAAUGCAACAAUAAACUGUGAUGAAACUUAUGAAUUAAGGACAUUGGGAAGCAGGGUAUUUUCAGAGAAUCAAUGAAUAACAAAUAAAAGCGAUAAGGAAUUCAAACAUGAAGAGCCGUUCUUAAACAUGAACACAAGUUUAGACUAACUCUCUCUCAAAACAUUAAUCACUAAAUUUAACUAUUCAAUUACUAAACUCUCAUUUGUAAUUUCAUAGCCAAAUUCACAUUAUCAAACAUGUUCAUUUGGUUCACAAAGCAUUUUAACAUCAACUCUCGCAGGUUAGAAAUAUAAUGCUCAAUUUACAUUCCUUCAGGCAUUUUAUCGAACAUCUCUGAAACACAUAAAAGCCUAAGUUCUAAAACAGGGUGAUCAAUCCUAUUAUAGCAUUGAGAACAUGUAAAUUGAAGAACCUAAAGAUUAAGAAUUCCCUAAGACAUCUAAUCUAUCAAAUCAUUGAAUUCUCCUACUUGAAACCCUAAAACCCAAUUAAGAAACUACUCAAACAUAGCAAAAGAGAAAACAAAAAUCAUAGAUGAAGAAAACAUGAUGAAAUUUCAGAAACAAUAAGAAAGGGUUUAGAAAUCUUCUCCAAGUGUCAAGAGGAUGGAUUCUUCUCCCAAAAUUGUUUAAGAAGCAAAGAACAACGUUUAGAACUCAAAAAUAUGAAGGAUAGCUGCUAAAAAGUCGAGCCUAGGGUAUAAAAACAAUAGGAGACGAUUUGGGUCGGUUAUGAAGUGUUUCGUAUAAAAUAUGGGCCAAAAAAUGCGUCAGAGGUAAGGGACCGAUCGAUCCAAAUGUUAGACGGAUCGGUCUAAUGCUCCCAGGUUUUACUUCUGCAUUAGCUUCAAAAACUCGUCAGAAUGACCUGUCUUCUCAAAAUCAGGCGUAACUCGUGAAUGCACUGUUAGAUGUUCUUGAAAUCACUUGCAAAUAAAAGCUAACACCUGUCUUCAUUUUGUGUCAAAAUAUGAGCAAGAGCUAACGGUCGAAAGUUGUCCAUAUGAUCUCAAACAUCUGACACUUCUACAUGAAUCUGCAUCUCCAAAUGUGUGUUUGCAUCCCAAAACGGCUCAUUUUAUUUCAAAGCAACCUAAAACCUGUAAAGAUUCUAUACUGGACUAAAAGACUCUAAAAACACACUUUGACUCAAUAAAAAUUAUAAAAUUAAAGAGAAAAAAGACUUGUCGAUAAAAACACAAUAUAUCAACUCCCCCCGACUUAGAUUCUUGCUUGUCCUCUAGCAAAACAAAAAUCUUAACCAAGAGAAUAGAUUUGAAAACAUGAGAACUCACAUAUUCUUUUGGGAUCAUGCUCUUAAUCAAUUCCUUGCAAACCACUACCACACAUUUUAUAUUAAACCGUACAAUAAUGUACUUCACCAUGACAUCAUGAGAUCCCUAAAGCACAAAGAACUUUAUAAUCAAAUAAAUUUACCGUUUAACAUUCAUUAGCAGUUUUGGCACUCUCAAAAAGGGAAUAUCGAACACGUUAUGGUCUAGGUGUAAAAGCAGUUUUAGGUGGCUCAAGUGUUUAAGGUUCAGCAGUAAUACGAACGGAUGCAAACAUUAAGCAAAAUCACACUGAGACACAGACCAAUUGGGAGGUACAUAACUUCCCUCUAACUCGGAUCACCUUAACCACAUCAAAUCCCAAGCAAAAAUCAUAUCACCUUAACCAAAUCAAACUCCAGACAAAUCAUAAGUAUCAUAGAUGCUUUUCAAAUAAAACCAAAGACAUAUCGACUUUUCCGGUUCCAUUCUUUCUCCUUUCCCGUUAUUUUCUCUUUUUUUUUUCUUUUUCUUUUUUAUUUUUUUUAGACAGGGGAGUGGAAACGUCUCACAAACUGCAUCAACAAAACUCAAUUAUGAUUGCUCACAACACAUGCUCAUGAAUAUAUAAAUAUAAUGACAAGAACUCAAUGUCAAUCACUCCAAACAACUACAGUUACAAUCCUAAUUAAAGAAAAGCUAUGUCGGUCUGUAUACUCCGUAGUUUUUGCACAUAAUGACAAUGACAAUGACAUACGAAUGCAUGUGGUCUGAAACAUGGAUAGGGCUAAAGGUGUGCUACUAGACUAAAUAUGAGUCUAGCCAUUCAGAGUUUACAAAGUGUGGUAAAAUACGCGAACUAAACUUUGAAUGUAUGAUCCAUUACAUGAUUGCCAACCCCCUAAGUGAGAUAUAACGAGUCAAGAUUAAGAUCAAAUAAGCAAGGUUAAGCUCAAAUCAUCCAAAUUUUGAAGUGAGGGAUUAUACGAUUGAUCUAGUCAUGAAUUUUCCUGAAGUUCCAAGUUAUCCUUAAACAAUGCUAAAUGGUCCCAAGGCAAUGAAAUCAAGCAAGGUGCAAUUCCCUAAAAAAUGCUCACAGUUCUCAUACAACAUUUUAACUCAAUAAAACAGACACGAUUUGACUCGAUAAAACAAACUGACAGACUCAAGAAAACAUCAAAAUGAAACAUAAGAAAAAGCAAAUUGCAUCAGGAGACUAGUGACAUCCUCCCCCAGACUUGCUUCACACCGUCUCGGUGUGAGAACAAUUCCAAAAGAAAACGUCACAACCAAAUAAAAAAAAAGGAAGAUGCAAAAAAGAAAAAUAAAAAUAAGAAAACUAACCUGGGACAUCUGGUGGGUUGCCUCCCACCAAGCGCUUAUUUUUGGUCUUUAUCUUGACCGCUCAACAAAAAAUAUUAAUCAUAAGAAUCAAAAGGUUGAGCCAAUGCACCUUUAGUCCUUCUCCGGUUACGGCACACAACAAUAUGCACAAAGUAACACACAAUUAUCCAUGACAAGGAGGCAAAACAACCAUCAACUAAAUUUACUACAAAUAUAGCAUAUAUCUUGAAAUCAUCUUUGAUGGUUUGAUGCUCAUGAGGAUCGAAUGCAUUUGGUGGAAAUAUAAAAUCAAUUUCAGGUCUUUAUGAAGUUUUAACAAAAUAUUCAACUUCAUCCCCAUUAAUCUCAUAUAGCACAAUUUUUCCAGCCAUAUAAUCAACCUAAAAAUUCUCAAUCUCAUCCAAGAUGUUAUCAAUAUCAAGCAAAACUCCUAAAUAAGAUUCUGCAAGAAGAGAUCUAGACAUUUCAGGCAUUGAAAACUUAAACUCGAGAUCACAAAAAUUCAAAGCACAAUGAUAUUCAAUAUCAAAACAUAUCUCAUGGUAAUCUCUAGCAAGUUUUUCUGCUCUAGAAGUAUCUAGCUGUUGAGACUCACCUGUCAGAUCAUAACAUUCACUGAUAAUCUUGGGAGUAUGCAAACUAGAAUCAACAUCUUCAAUGCAAGGCAUAGAAAAAUCCUCAAAAUCAUGAAUUUCAAAGGUUAAGACGCAUGUACCUUCUAUGUCGCUCGGUGGAACCCAAUAUAUUACAUUUUCAAGAUCAUGGGCUUCUUUGAUCUCAUAGCCUGUGAGUUGCCUUCCUUCAUAUGCUGCCCGCAACGAUAUAAGGUUCAACCGGAUCAUAGUUGCUAAGUCACUCCUUGUCAAUGUUGGAUUGUCCACGUAAAGUUCAUCCAACUUCACUUUUUGUUCCGGUGUAAGAACACUCUCAUCAAAUGGUGGCUCUAUAUAUGGCUCAUCCUCUUCUUCUUGUGGCCAGUCAUUGAAAUCCAUGGCCAACAACUCCUAAAUCACCAAAAAGAAAUAAAAAAUAUUAGUUAAAAAAACUGUAGAGAAAAUGCUCUAGACUAAAAACUAAUCCUAAAUCUUUAAGUAACGCAAUUGCUCCCCGGCAGCGGCGCCAACUUGAUUACUCGAGUAUUUAACCCGAUAACUUAACCGAAGUAAAGUAUAUGCGGGAUCGAUCACAAGGAGCAAUGGUACACUAAAGACUUGCGAGUCUCGUUCUUAGCUAAAGCGGAAAAGACUUGUUGUUUGGUUUUUCAGUUUGUAAAUAAAAAUGCAAAAAUAAACUGUGAUUAAAC
rnacentral:lncRNA from 1 species